GAAGGAGUCGGGGAGCGGAGGCGGGGGGGGUGUCUGCCUUUUAACCCUCCCCAAGAGGUCGUGCCUCUGAGCCCCAAAGCUGAAGGCCCCUCUUGGGGGUGGGUGCGGGCCGGAGGGGCCCGAUCCUUUCAGAGCCGGGCCGAGGUGAAGGAAAAGAAGGAAGCAAGAAGAGCCAUUUGGAGUUAGAGGUCUCAGCUGUGAAGCCAGAACAAUAAAAAUAAAAACAGCGCGGACUCCUGGGCAGCCUGGACCAGGGAACCAACUGCCCCAAGAGUUGCUGCUCACCAGGCUGGAAGGCAAGUGGGGUUGGGGGGUUGGGAGAUGGGAGUGACCUUACGGAGCCCCUGCUAUGUCCUCCGGCCCUUACAGAGUAAGGGUAAUCUCCAAGGCUCACAACAGGCCCUCUGUCUGGGUGGCCAGACCAGUCAGGAUUUGAACUCAGUUUUCCAAACAGUAACAAUUCCCAUCUGUUCAGCAGCUACUAUGCUUUACAGACUUGUGACAUUCAUACCACACCUGGGGGGGUGAGCUCAUCAUUCCCUCAUUUUACAGGUGAGGCAGCUGAGACUUCAGGAGGCCUCUGCUCACACGCCACCUCCUUGAGAUGCCUUGCCAGACCACCCUGUUAAAGUAGUCACCCCCACCCCUGCCCAAUAUGCCCUACCCUCUUCCCUAUUUUAUCUUCAUAGCAUGCAUCGCGGCCUGCUAAUAUUGUGUGUCUCCAUUGCAUUUUGUCUGUCU
rnacentral:lncRNA from 1 species